CUUGAUCUAAGGAUCCUAUUCAUGCUCCCACCUCUGUUUUCUUUCUUAACUCACAUCUUCAAACCCUAAAAGACCACUCCCCACCCUAUAAAUAAGACCUCAAGGCCUCCUUUAAGGAUCCAUCAGCCUUCUCCAUGUCCAUAAGCCUUCCCCACGUCCAAAUCCCCAUAGCCUUAAGUUCCACGCCACAGUCCUUCUUCACACC
rnacentral:lncRNA from 1 species